CCUUACACAUGCAAGUCGAACGGCAGCAUGGAAGAGCUUGCUCUUCUGGAUGGCGAGUGGCGAACGGGUGAGUAAAGCAUCGGAACGUACCGUGUAGUGGGGGAUAACGCAGCGAAAGCUGUGCUAAUACCGCAUACGAUCUAUGGAUGAAAGCAGGGGAUCGCAAGACCUUGCGCUAUACGAGCGGCCGAUGUCAGAUUAGCUAGUUGGUAGGGUAAAGGCCUACCAAGGCGACGAUCUGUAGCGGGUCUGAGAGGAUGAUCCGCCACACUGGGACUGAGACACGGCCCAGACUCCUACGGGAGGCAGCAGUGGGGAAUUUUGGACAAUGGGCGAAAGCCUGAUCCAGCCAUGCCGCGUGAGUGAAGAAGGCCUUCGGGUUGUAAAGCUCUUUCGGCUGGGAAGAAAUCGCACAGGCUAAUACUCUGUGUGGAUGACGGUACCAGCACAAGAAGCACCGGCUAACUACGUG
rnacentral:rRNA from 1 species